rnacentral:rRNA from 1 species
GACGAACGCUGGCGGCGUGCUUAACACAUGCAAGUCGAACGGAAAGGCCCUGCUUUUGUGGGGUGCUCGAGUGGCGAACGGGUGAGUAACACGUGAGUAACCUGCCCUAGACUUUGGGAUAACUUCAGGAAACUGGGGCUAAUACCGGAUAGGAGCUCCUGCUGCAUGGUGGGGGUUGGAAAGUUUCGGCGGUUGGGGAUGGACUCGCGGCUUAUCAGCUUGUUGGUGGGGUAGUGGCUUAACAAGGCUUUGACGGGUAGCCGGCCUGAGAGGGUGACCGGCCACAUUGGGACUGAGAUACGGCCCAGACUCCUACGGGAGGCAGCAGUGGGGAAUAUUGCACAAUGGGCGGAAGCCUGAUGCAGCAACACCGCGUGCGGGAUGACGGCCUUCGGGUUGUAAACCGCUUUCGCCUGUGACGAAGCGUGAGUGACGGUAAUGGGUAAAGAAGCACCGGCUAACUACGUG